UGUCCAAGUCCAUUCUUACAUUCACACAACUUGAGGGUCCAAUCACACAUGUCCAUUUUGGUUCUAUCAUUCUCUAUGUUCAACUACGUUAGAAGCAUACAAAUGAAGUCAAACCAAGUUCCACAUGUAGCUACCCUACUAUGCAUGAAUGGGUAUAUAUAUAUAUAUGCUCAAGAAUAGAGAAAACAGACAUAGAGGGGAAUCCAACGAUUCCGGCGUGCACCCCCCACCUCUAUUGGUCGUGUGGGUGUAGAAUAUUAAGGCCCCCGCACUUUACGAAAGCCGAUUCCGCGCCCUAUAAUCAAAAUAGUGCCACAUUAGGCCUUUUUGUACAUGAACUAUACUCUAACAUUUUCGAAAUGUUAAACGAAGUUGUCCAACGUGUUUAGGGCACCCCCAAUUAGGUUUCUACGGGGUCAAUUUGUCCCCGAAAAAUCCUAGGGCAAAAACCCCAAAUUCAAGCCCUAAUAUAGCCAUUUAGGGUUUUCCCAUGAAUCGAUCCCAACCCUACGCAAAGAAUAGCAUAGGAUCAUCUAAGAAGCAUCCUAACAAGGUUUCUAGACCUUUGGUACCAACCCUAGGGCUCCAAACAUCUCUUCCAAGGAUUUCACCAUGAGAGCACCUUGAGCUCUCAUGGGUUCCAUGGUGUUCAUGGCUCAAAAGAGCUUCUAAAGCCUCUAAGGAGCACAAAGCUCCAAAUCUCUUAACCAAAAUCCAAACCCUAGAGGAAAAACCUACAAAACUUACCUCUAAUCCAAGCUCCACCAAGAUUCUUCUUGUUGGAGAGCUCCUAGAACCUCCAAGGCACCAAAUCCACCUUCUUCUCCAACUUCUUCUUCUUC
rnacentral:lncRNA from 1 species